rnacentral:rRNA from 1 species
CUGGCCUGUACAGGGGGAUAACACUUAGAAAUAGGUGCUAAUACCGCAUAACGGGGGAAGCCGCAUGGCUUUUUCCUGAAAACUCCGGUGGUACAGGAUGGGCCCGCGUCUGAUUAGCCAGUUGGCAGGGUAACGGCCUACCAAAGCGACGAUCAGUAGCCGGCCUGAGAGGGCGGACGGCCACACUGGGACUGAGACACGGCCCAGACUCCUACGGGAGGCAGCAGUGGGGGAUAUUGCACAAUGGGGGAAACCCUGAUGCAGCGACGCCGCGUGGGUGAAGAAGCGCCUCGGCGCGUAAAGCCCUGUCAGCAGGGAAGAAAAUGACGGUACCUGAAGAAGAAGCCCCGGCUAACUACGUGCCAGCAGCCGCGGUAAUACGUAGGGGGCAAGCGUUAUCCGGAUUUACUGGGUGUAAAGGGGGCGCAGACGGCGAUGCAAGCCAGGAGUGAAAGCCCGGGGCCCAACCCCGGGACUGCUCUUGGAACUGCGUGGCUGGAGUGCAGGAGGGGCAGGCGGAAUUCCUGGUGUAGCGGUGAAAUGCGUAGAUAUCAGGAGGAACACCGGUGGCGAAGGCGGCCUGCUGGACUGCAACUGACGUUGAGGCCCGAAAGCGUGGGGAGCGAACAGGAUUAGAUACCCUGGUAGUCCACGCCGUAAACGAUGA